GACAAAACAAAAACUGUCUCUGCUGUAAAAAUUUAAUUUAACUUUUAAGUGAAAAGGCUUAAAUAAUUCAAUGGGACGAUAAGACCCUAUAAGCUUUAUAUUUUUUUGACUAUAUUAUAAAAAUUUAAUUAAAUAUUUUUGUUUUGAAAAAAUUUGGCUGGGGCGGCAUAUUUAAAAAUAUUAUUAACUCUUUUUAUUUUAACCACAGUUAUGUGUAAUAAUAGAUCCUUUAUAAAGAUUAAAAGGCAAGUUACUUUAGGGAUAACAGCGUUAUUUUUUUUGAGAGCCCAUAUCGAAAAAAAAGAUUGCGACCUCGAUGUUGAAUUAAAAAUUCUAUAUAGUGCAGUAGCUUUAUAAGAAGGUCUGUUCGACC
rnacentral:rRNA from 1 species